rnacentral:tRNA from 2 species
GCGCUCUUAGCUCAGCGGACAGAGCUGCGGAUUUCUAAUCCGCGAGUCCCGGGUUCGAAUCCUGGAGAGCGUACCA